AACUAGCCCCGAUGGGAACGGCAUCCUUUUUUGUUUUCUUGAUUCUUGCUUCGAUUAAAUGACAAAUAUUAUGAAAACAAAAAAGAUAUAGUGGACAGCGGGAUAAAGC
rnacentral:sRNA from 1 species